GAGAGAGAGAAAAUGCAAUAGUCACCGCCUUAACCUCCUCUCCGUGUAGAAAACGAGCCACCGGUUAAAAAGAAAAUGGGAUGUUGAACUUUACUGGUAUCCUUAUUAUCUUUCAUCAUCAUCAUUAUUACAGAACGCCUUUACCAGUUUUCAUCAUCAAUAUUUACUUUUUAUUUUUAUUUUUAUUUGUUUCCCUUCAUCAUUCAUUUCGUAGCUUCUUAGACAAUAAAGAAACACAAUAAGUAAAUACAAAGGGUGCUUUUUACAUGUAUAGACUCAGAUUAUUAGGACAAAUUUAGCUGCCUCGUCCAAUUGAGCUAACCUGGUCAAAUAUCUCUUACCUAGUGAAGACGAAGCUUACCUGGGCAAUAUAAACUUUACCUGGUCAACAUAAACCUUACCUGUCCAAUGUUAUCUGCUCACCUCACCAAAUAUAAGCUUACCUGGUCUAUAUGAAUCUUACCUGGCCUAUGUGAAGCUUACCUGGGCAAUAUAAACUUUACCUGGUCAACCUAAACCUUACCUGUCCAAUGUUAUCUGCUCACCUCACCUCACCAAAUAUAAGCUUACCUGAUCUAUAUGAAGCUAACCUGGGCAAUAUGAAUCUUACCUGGCCUAUAUGAAGCUUACCUGGCCUAUAUGAAUCUUACCUGGCCUAUGUGAAGCUUACCUGGGCAAUAUUAUAACCUUACCUGGGCAGUAUUCAAUUUACCUGGCUAAAUAUUACCUCACCUUACUUGGGCAAAUUUAACAAGGACCAUAUUGGGAUACCUUGGCAGAUCUCAAAAUAAUUAGAGUAAUAAUAAUAAUGAUAAUUUGUUGAGGGAGAGUAAUGUUCAGGUAAAUUUUAAGAUAGAAAUUUACUUUAAUACGAUACUUCAUUACAUUUCAUCAGGGUGUUUUUUUUUUUUUUCGGGUUACAAAAAUGGUAACUGGUCAAAUAUUUCCAUGUCAAUAUAUGUCACUUCUUUUAUUACCUUCAGAUCUACAUUCCUCUGUUCACCUUAACUUGGCAAACAGGCCCCACCCCCUUUCUCUAAUUCUUGCACAUCAUUGACCAGUCCUCUAGCAAGCCCCGCCCCCUCUCCGACUCAGCCUGCGUGUGAUUGGUGGAUGCUGGAGAAGAUUGAAUCUUAUUGGUGGAUGCUGUGAAAGGUUGAAUCUUAUUGGUGGAUGCUGUGAAAGGUUGAAUCUGAUUGGUGGAUGCUGUGAAAGGUUGAAUCUUAUUGAUGGAUGCUGGGAAAGUUUGAAUCUGAUUGGUGGAUGCUGGGAAAGGUUAAAUCUUAUUGGUGGAUGCUGGGAAAGGCUGAAUCUGAUUGGUAGAUGCUGGGAAAGGUUAAAUCUUAUUGGUGGAUGCUGGGAAAGGCUGAAUCUGAUUGGUAGAUGCUGGGAAAGGUUGAAUCUUAUUGGUGGAUGCUAGGAAAGGCUGAAUCUGAUUGGUAGAUGCUGGGAAAGGUUAAAUCUUAUUGGUGGAUGCUAGGAAAGGCUGAAUCUGAUUGGUGGAUGCUGGGAAAGGUUAAAUCUUAUUGGUGGAUGCUAGGAAAGGCUGAAUCUGAUUGGUGGAUGCUGGGAAAGGCUGAAUCUGAUUGGUAGAUGCUGGGAAAGGUUAAAUCUUAUUGGUGGAUGCUGGGAAAGGCUGAAUCUGAUUGGUAGAUGCUGGGAAAGGUUAAAUCUUAUUGGUGGAUGCUGGGAAAGGCUGAAUCUGAUUGGUAGAUGCUGGGAAAGGCUGAAUCUGAUUGGUGGAUGCUGGGAAAGGUUAAAUCUGAUUGGUGGAUGCUGGGCAGGCCCUGGCGAAGCUUAUAUAUCAAGUUAAUAUGAACAGAGAAAAGUGCCAUGUUAUUAUAUCAUUUUAUUCAUUAUUCAUUCCUACAUUAUACAUAUCUUUAAUAUAUACUUUUCUGACAAUUAUUUCACAUUCAUAUUUUGUUAAUUUUCUUAGAUUACAAAAUUGUGAAAAUACAUUAAUACAUAAAUGAAGAAAACGAUUAAUUUUCACACAUUCAUCGCUGCAUUCCACAUCUUUUAUUUAAAUAUUUUUACAGUUAUUUAAUUCUCAUCUUUUGGCUCUAUUUUCUUUGCUUACAAAACUACAUAGGAAAAAAAAAUCCAUACCAUCAUCGCUACACUCCCGAGCUAUUUUAUUUUUUACUUCUUUAUUUGAUUUUUUACAAUAAUUUUACACACUCAUUUUCUGUCCCAUUUUCUUUCAUUACAAAACAAUUAAAGAAAACGGGUGAUCUUGCCUACACGAAGCGGAGGUAAAGGCGGAAACUAAUCUAAAAACAACCUGAAUUUGACCUUAUUGACGGAUGACGGAGAGGCGACUAACGGUAACAAUAAUAAUGAUAAUAAUAAUGAUAAUAAAGAUAAUAAAAAUAAGGACGGCCUCUAAGCUUGCCUCACAGAAAGGUGCCAAACCGAUGCCUGUAUAACCUUUUUUUUUUAAGCCUUUUACGCGUGAGUGGA